GACAGAGGGUGCAAACGUUGCUCGGAAUUACUGGGCGUAAAGCGCGUGUAGGUGGAUUGGUGUGUCAGAUGUGAAAGCCCCCGGCUCAACCGGGGAAGUGCAUCUGAAACUGGCGAGCUAGAGUACGAAAGAGGGUCGCGGAAUUCCCGGUGUAGAGGUGAAAUGCGCAGAUAUCAGGAAGAACACCCGUGGCGAAAGCAGCUCUCUGGGACGGUACUGACGCUGAGACGCGAAAGCGUGGGGAGCGAACAGG
rnacentral:rRNA from 1 species